AGCCUAAAUCUGGGGAAGACUUCUCUUCUCAGUCUCCUCUUCUAUGUUGUUUUUUGGAUUAGCAGGAGUGAAGACUUGCAGCAUCAAAACGUUUGCUGUUGAAAAGUUGUUUUGUAUCAGAACAGGAGCUGACAAAUUCAGUUUUCCCAGGUCUGAUUCAACAUCUUCAUUUGGAAAGUCUGCCUUACUCAUAAGUGGACUUCAGAACUGCUUCAUAUGAGUACCAAAAGAAGCUCAACAGACUGAUACUUUCCAUAGGAUAACUCAGUGUCCAUCUUGUAACUAGUCUUGGUUCAUGCUGUCCAGUACAGUGAGGUACAUGAUUGCUGUGACCCUCAAAGAAGCAUCUGGAUUUUUGAAAUUCACAAGUGUCACUCAUUCUCUCCAAAUAGUCUAAAAAAGCUAAAUGGACAAGUUAAGAAUUCUUGAUUAUAGACAUACAUAUGCUAUCCACUCCAAUUUCUGAUUUACAAGCACUGGAUCAGAAAAUUAUUCUUCUCCAGACAGCUUUUAAUUUGACUGUCAGAUGAAAACUUAAGGCUGCUAAAGGGAACAACAAAAGAGUGUCUGUUGACUCUAUAAACUGAAUGCCUUUUCUGAAAGCUGCUUGUUCCUUUGGGUAAUCCUGAACGCCUACUGAGAAACGGACCCAGGAAAAAAAAAAAAUAAAGGCAUUACUGACAGGCACUUUCAAGAGAACUGUAGUCUGGCAUCAGGCUCUCCACCAGGUCUGUUAAGGUUUUGAAUUUCAUUUGUCAUGCAGGAGAACUCUUUAGAAGCUGGACAGAAGAUAAGACAGAAGAAGCUGGAGGUCUGCUAUGUCCUCUCUGUACAUAUACAAUGAAAUGAUCAGUGGCAGUGUUCAGACCUUGCGUUCACCAAGGCGUUACUGACUAAAGUCCAGCAGUGAGAGACCAGAGAAGUGGUCUGUUUGAACUGAAUGCAGGUGCUCGGUUCCUGUGCAGUGAGGUCGAGUGAGUCACCAGGAAGCACAGUUACUGCCAGAGAGGUUUCUGAAGCUGCAAAUGUGCUCCUGAUGGCUUGCAGCGCAGCACCAGACUCUUCAAGAUCCCAACCACGCGUAACAGUGCAAGCAGCCUGGCUUUUUGAGGUAACACACGGGUUUAUCCAAACUCUUUGACUGGAAAAUCAUUGAAGUCAAAGGCUGUGCCUGGCAGCAGGAGUGCCUUGGCUCACAGACUGAAUGGCAGCAUAGGUUAUUUAAUGCCUGUGUACUCACCAGCACUUGAUUCACCUGUGCAUCACAAUGCUCUCUUCCUCAGCUUUGAGAGUUUUCCUCUAGUGACAUCAAGAAGUAUAUUAACUAUUAUAUGGUCCCUAAUUUUAAACUUGCAUCAAAUUGUAAAUUAUAGGCUUCUGACUAUUUGAGUCACAGGUGAACCUAUCAAAACCACAUUUGCUUGCAAUAUAAGAAGGACUAAAAUUUUAUUCUCCCUCAUGAGAUCUCCACAGAAAUUUCAGAGUUGGGAGGGAAAUGUGAAAAUUAGAUGUGAAAUUACACAAGGUUCUCUGCUAGAUGUGUGUGCGGCUUUUUGUGAGAAUUUAGUGACUUGAAUUAUCUUUUUUUUUCCGCUUCAGGACAACACUGCAUAUGUUUAUUUUAAUAUGGUAAUUGGCAAUAUAAAUAACAGACUUAAACUGGCAGUGAAUGUAAAUGUGUGCUAAGACUGAACUAUGCAAGACAGAAGCUUGUUUUUAUGUGGGUAGUUAUCUGCAGCAAAGGAAUGGUAUGAAUUGAUUCAAUAGCACCAGUGUUUUGAAGCGUUAUAGCAAAAUCUGCCAAAACUACUUCUGUCUGAGAUCUGGGUCCCAUAAAUACUACUUUCUCUAAGUCCUGAGAUAGUACUUUUAUAUCUUAGAUUUUUUUUUACCCUGAGUUUACAGCUAAAAACAGGUUUUGCAGAUCUCUCUCUAUCUAAGAAAAUGACUAAAAUAUUCCAAUUAUGUGUUCGUUAAUAUAUUGUAUUCUAAAUAUGAAAGAUGCCCACCAUUGUUCAAACAAGACAAAAAAUUAGACUCUCUACCUUCAAGUGCUUACAACCUUUGGAUCUUUUCCCUCCUGAAGCAGGGUUCUGCAGUUGCCUGUAAAAGGUGCAGGACUCAAUUCUAAAUCAUCCCCAAAAACAUUAAGGCUCUAUUAAAUAAAUGCACUUUUUCUAAGGAGCUGAGGAAAAAGCCACAAGUCUAACUUAUUCCAUAUAACUGAAAGGGUGAUUAAAUGUUCCAAAUAUGCAGAAGUCAAAUGUCCCAUUUCUGCUUUAAAUCUUUUCCUUUUAUAGACUGUGGGUUAGACUCCCUGCUUUGAAAACCUGUGCUGUUUAGGAACAAGAAUUUAUUUACAGUUUUAAAAACUUGCAACUAAUCUUGGAUGAAUAGUCUGAAUUAACCUCUGGCAGAGAAAUUGUAAUUUCUAAGCCAACACAUAACUGUAUUUUGCAUUAGUUUAGGAAUAUUGGGUACUUUGAGGGGUUAAGAAUGAAAUAUUUUCCAUGAUUCAUAUCUCUUUUAGCUUAAAAAGUCAACAACUCUAUUCCAGUGUAGCCAAAAGGGGUUUUCAGUCCAAAAUGUCUCAUUGCUUGCAAUUAAUUUGGGCUCUUGCAAUUAGGGUUUUGUAUCCCAAUGCAUUAAUGCAUGAAAGCAGCUGCACAAUGAGUAGUGCCACAUGUUUGAACUAAAAAUAAUCUGUGUAUAUUGUUGCUGUGCAAACAGUUGUACGUUUUGGUCACUGAAGUUAAUCUCUGUGUUAAAACAGCAGAGACACAUACGAGAUGCAAAUUGUGCAACUGUGAGGGGACAAUUGUGUGUGCCUGCUUGUGCCACUUACCCACCCCCUGUCCCUUUUUGUCUUAACAAGUAUGCUGAAUCAUGUCAUUUAAAUACAUGGAAAAUUACAUUAAAACUUUUAGUGAUAACCAUACUUAGGGAAAUGGAAACAACUUUAUUUUCCAUGAAAUAAGGAUUUUUGAGCUUACACAACUGGCAUGAUGCUUUAGGGCGGGAGGAAAAAGGCUGUGCUAGUUUAGGAUGAAUUCUGUCUUGCAGAAGUAUCUAUGGAAGAGGGUAAAAACCCUUUCAGCUGAAAAUGGCAAGCUUUCCAACUUUCUGAGCUCAAACCUUCCACCGUGCUGGUUUUGGCUGGGGUAGAGUUAAAUUUCUUCACAGUGUCUGGUACAGUGUUAUGUUUUGGAUUUGUGCUGAACACAGGGUUGAUAACAUAGAGGUUUUUUUUAUUGCUGAGCAGGGCUUAUACAAAGUCAAGGACUUUCCUGCUUUUUGUACUGCCACGACUGCAAAGACAUUGGGGGGAGCAUAAGAGGUUUGGAUGGGAUACAGUCAGGACAGGUGACCCCAAACACACCAUAUGACAUCAUGCUCAGUAUGUAAAGUGAAGGGAAGAAGGAGGAAGAGAGGACAUUUGGAGCGAUGUCAUUGGUCUUCCCAAGUAACCAAUACAUGUGAUGAGGCCCUGCUCUCCUGGAGAUGGCUGAACACCUGCCAGCCUGUGGGAAGCACAGGCUUGUUUUCCCUUGUUUUGCUUUGCUUGUCUGUGCUGCUUUUUCUUUCCCUACUCUCUUUAUCUUACCCACUAGUUCUCUGGCUUUUACCCUUUAAAUUCCGUCCCCAGUCCUGAUGGUUGAGGGGUGAGUGAAUGGCUGGGUGGUGCCUGAUUGCUGACUAGGGCUAAACGAGUCCCAUGGCAGUGUUUUGUGGCACCAUUGAAGAGUUUUUUUCCUUUCAAGAAACUCCAGGAAAUUUAUUCUGAUCCUCAUCCUGGCAACAUUCAUGAGUGGCUUGCCAAUGGGUGACUCCUUUAUCCAGAUUUAGAUUAACCUUUGGGUCUCAAAAAGCACUUGCUUUUGCUUCCAGCCUUGCAUCUUAAUCUCUGGUCCCCAUUCCAAAGUAAAUUAUACAGAGGAAAAUACUAUGUCUAAGUUUUAUUUGUUUGUUUGUUGUUGUUGUUUUGAUUUGUUUUGUUUGCUUCAGUUCUGCGGCCUGUGUCUUACGCUGUGUACGCUGGUGGGUGUCCAGAGCAAUACUGCACUAGACCAGAGCCUGGGUCUUCACAUGUGCUGGGAGCAGCUGGCAAAGUGCACCAUAGUGAAGGACACCGUACCACGUUCCAUUAGAAGAUAACAGGGCUGCCAGCUAUCACUGCAAUAGCAUCUUAGGCAUGUUGUCUGUCUUUGUUUUCCAAGCUUCAGUACAGUGCAAUGUACUUGGCUGCCAACAGCCAUAACUGACAGACUUUGGCUGCUGCCUUUCAGCACGGACUCUAUCUCCAGUCAAAGAGUUUGGAUUAUAAAGUUCUGGUGGAAAUUAUGAACCUCCAUUCCUGCAAAAGAGGCACCAGUCUGAAGUGUUGGGAUAAAAAUGGAUCAUCCGGAAAAUCAGAUGGUGAUCAUCAGAAGCCUUGAGGAAAAUUAAAUGCAUCUGGAAACAUUCAAAAAUCAAAACUCAGACACAAACUUUGAAGAGGAGGGCUAAGUACUAAGGCAUUUCAGUUUCCUGGAUAAAGCAAGUAAUACAGAGGUUGUAAAAAUUGCAGUUUUGAAUUCAAACACUUAAAUUCCAUUUCACGCCCACAUUAGUCACCUGAGUCUUGCUUUUUCUAAAUAAAUAAUAAGGGUUUUUUAGCAAGUAUUCUUUAUUGAUAUACUCAUGUUCCUAGUAUUGUAAUUCUCUGUAAAAUUGAACACAGACAUAAAGAAAUUAUUAAGAAAGGUAAAAUCCCUUUUUAGGAAAGCAUCAAAAUGCCAAAACAAAAUUUAGACUCCCCCCAAAAUCUUGAUAUCUAUAAUUUCUGGUGCAUGAAGAACUGGACCUACUUAACUACUGGUUCAUUUAGACUUUCAGAAAGCUGUAGUGUUCUAAUAAAAAUACAGAUAAUGACUUGUACUAAAAUGGUGUUCAUGUAGCUCAACUGCUAUAUGAAAGACAUUUCU